rnacentral:rRNA from 1 species
AUUGAACGCUGGCGGCAUGCCUUACACACGCAAGUCGAACGGCAGCACGGGUGCUUGCACCUGGUGGCGAGUGGCGAACGGGUGAGUAAUACAUCGGAACGUACCUUAUCGUGGGGGAUAACGCAGCGAAAGCUGUGCUAAUACCGCAUACGCCCUGAGGGGGAAAGCGGGGGAUCGCAAGACCUUGCGCGAUUAGAGCGGCCGAUGCCUGAUUAGCUUGUUGGUGGGGUAAAAGCCCACCAAGGCGACGAUCAGUAGCUGGUCUGAGAGGACGAUCAGCCACACUGGGACUGAGACACGGCCCAGACUCCUACGGGAGGCAGCAGUGGGGAAUUUUGGACAAUGGGGGCAACCCUGAUCCAGCAAUGCCGCGUGAGUGAAGAAGGCCUUCUGGUUGUAAAGCUCUUUUGUCAGGGAAGAAACGCCGGCUCUAACACAGUCCGGGAAUGACGGUACCUGAAGAAUAAGCACCGGCUAACUACGUGCCAGCCGCCGCGGUAA